AUUGAACGCUGGCGGCAUGCCUUACAUAUGCAAGUCGAACGGUAACGGGCCUUCGGGUGCCGACGAGUGGCGCACGGGUGAGUAAUACAUCGGAACGUGCCCGAUCGUGGGGGAUAACGAGGCGAAAGCUUUGCUAAUACCGCAUACGAUCUACGGAUGAAAGCAGGGGACCGCAAGGCCUUGCGCGGACGGAGCGGCCGAUGGCAGAUUAGGUAGUUGGUGGGAUAAAAGCUUACCAAGCCGACGAUCUGUAGCUGGUCUGAGAGGAUGAUCAGCCACACUGGGACUGAGACACGGCCGAGACUCCUACGGGAGGCAGCAGUGGGGAAUUUUGGACAAUGGGCGCAAGCCUGAUCCAGCCAUGCCGCGUGCAGGAUGAAGGCCUUCGGGUUGUAAACUGCUUUUGUACGGAACGAAAAGCCUUCUUUUAAUACAGGAGGGUCAUGACGGUACCGUAAGAAUAAGCACCGGCUAACUACGUG
rnacentral:rRNA from 1 species